rnacentral:rRNA from 1 species
AUUGAACGCUGGCGGCAGGCUUAACACAUGCAAGUCGAACGAGUGGCAGACGGGAGAGUAAUGCUUGGGACUCUCGCUUAUGGAGGGGGAUAACUACGGGAAACUGUAGAUAAUACCGCGUACCAUAGGAUGGGCACAAGUUGGAUUAGGUAGUGGGUGAGGUAAAGGCUAACAAAGCCGACGAUCUCUAGCUGGCCUGAGAGGAUGACCAGCCACACUGGGACUGAGACACGGCCCAGACUCCUACGGUAGGCAGCAGUGGGGAAUAUUGCUCAAUGGGGGCAACCUGACGCAGCCAUGCCGCGUGAAUGAAGAAGGCCUUCGGUUUGUAAAGUUCUUUCGGUAGCGAGGCGUUAACUACAGAAGAAGCACCGGCUAACUCCGUGCCAGCAGCCGCGGUAAUAC